GCGAACGGGUGAGUAACACGUGGGUGAUCUGCCCUGCACUCUGGGAUAAGCUUGGGAAACUGGGUCUAAUACCGGAUAUGACCACAGCGCGCAUGUGUUGUGGUGGAAAGAUUUAUCGGUGCAGGAUGGGCCCGCGGCCUAUCAGCUUGUUGGUGGGGUAAUGGCCUACCAAGGCGACGACGGGUAGCCGACCUGAGAGGGUGACCGGCCACACUGGGACUGAGACACGGCCCAGACUCCUACGGGAGGCAGCAGUGGGGAAUAUUGCACAAUGGGCGGAAGCCUGAUGCAGCGACGCCGCGUGAGGGAUGAAGGCCUUCGGGUUGUAAACCUCUUU
rnacentral:rRNA from 1 species